CCUACGGGAGGCAGCAGUGAGGAAUAUUGGUCAAUGGACGAGAGUCUGAACCAGCCAAGUAGCGUGAAGGAUGACUGCCCUAUGGGUUGUAAACUUCUUUUAUAAAGGAAUAAAACGAGGCACGUGUGCCUUUUUGCAUGUACUUUAUGAAUAAGGAUCGGCUAACUCCGUGCCAGCAGCCGCGGUAAUACGGAGGAUCCGAGCGUUAUCCGGAUUUAUUGGGUUUAAAGGGAGCGUAGUUGGGUUGUUAAGUCAGUUGUGAAAUUUUGCGGCUCAAACGUAAAAUUGAAAUUGAUACGGGCAGUCUUGAGUCCAGUUGAGGUAGGCUGAAUACUUGGUGUAGCGUUGAAAUUCUUAGUUAUCACGAAGAACCCCAAUUGCGAGGGCAGCUUACUAAACUGUGACUGACAUUGAUGCUCGAAAGUGUGGUUAUCAAACGGAUUAGAUACCCCAGUAGUC
rnacentral:rRNA from 1 species